GAUGAACGCUAGCUACAGGCUUAACACAUGCAAGUCGAGGGGAAACGAUAUUGGAAGCUUGCUUCCGAUAGGCGUCGACCGGCGCACGGGUGAGUAACGCGUAUCCAACCUGCCCAUCACUUGGGGAUAACCUUGCGAAAGUAAGACUAAUACCCAAUGACGUCUCUAGAAGACAUCUGAAGGAGAUUAAAGAUUUAUCGGUGAUGGAUGGGGAUGCGUCUGAUUAGCUUGUUGGCGGGGUGACGGCCCACCAAGGCGACGAUCAGUAGGGGUUCUGAGAGGAAGGCCCCCCCACAUUGGAACUGAGACACGGUCCAAACUCCUACGGGAGGCAGCAGUGAGGAAUAUUGGUCAAUGGACGAGAGUCUGAACCAGCCAAGUAGCGUGCAGGAUGACGGCCCUAUGGGUUGUAAACUGCUUUUAUAGGGAAUAAAGUGAGUCUCGUGAGACUUUUUGCAUGUACCUUAUGAAUAAGGACCGGCUAAUUCCGUGCCAG
rnacentral:rRNA from 1 species